UGGGGAAUAUUGGACAAUGGGGGAAACCCUGAUCCAGCAAUGCCGCGUGAGUGAAGAAGGCCUUAGGGUUGUAAAGCUCUUUCGCCCGCGAAGAUAAUGACGGUAGCGGGAGAAGAAGCCCCGGCUAACUCCGUGCCAGCAGCCGCGGUAAUACGGAGGGGGCUAGCGUUGUUCGGAAUUACUGGGCGUAAAGCGUACGUAGGCGGAUGCGCAAGUUGGGGGUGAAAUCCCGGGGCUUAACCUCGGAAUUGCCCUCAAAACUGCACGUCUUGAGACCGAGAGAGGUAAGGGGAAUUCCUAGUGUAGAGGUGAAAUUCGUAGAUAUUAGGAAGAACACCAGUGGCGAAGGCGCCUCACUGGCUCGGUACUGACGCUGAGGUACGAAAGCGUGGGGAGCAAACA
rnacentral:rRNA from 1 species